rfam:Succinatimonas hippei YIT 12066 genomic scaffold Scfld330, whole genome shotgun sequence.
GCCUAGAUAGCUCAGUCGGUAGAGCAGGGGAUUGAAAAUCCCCGUGUCGGUGGUUCGAUUCCGCCUCUGGGCA